AUUUUUUAUCCUCUCUAUGAAUUCCAUCAUUUUUGCUCUCUUCUUGAUUCGAAGAGUUCAUUCCGAUCAUUGAAUGUUUCCUCCACCCUCGGCCAUCCGUUUCGCCAGGAUAAGAAAUUCCCUGACAUUAGGUUAAAAACAACAGAGAGCCAAAUAAAGGGGCAGGCAGCAGCUACAGACAAAUUCUGCAAAAUCCUCAUUUCUUUUCUUUGGCCACGACUUUCAAAUGAGGAAGAUUCAUUCACUACUACUCUUUUAAUUCUCCAACUAUAUUUCAACUUCCUUUCUAUCCCCACAAUUUGAAAUCAUUUAAAAAAUAAGUUGUGGUCACACCUACAAACGUGCUAUGAAACAAAAAGUAUGCUACUAAUAUUACAGAUUUCCUAUUUAUAUUCAAUUAUGAGUAGAGAAGAAACAAGCAGAGGCAGAGUUAGGUGGUGGACGCAGGGAGGUGUGCAUUGAAUUCUUCCUGUCAGAAAAUAGUGUGUUACCCGGUGGAUGUCCAUGAGUUCAGCUGAAAUUCGAAGGAGGGUUAGAACAUUGAUUCUUUGUUGUCUAGAUUUGAAUUAAAGUCUAUGAUAAGUGGAUUAAGACAGACGAAAUUGCAAGGUUCUAGAUUCUUGCCUCCAUAAAAAAUGUCUUGCAAGAUCAACAUCAGUCUAUGGCCUUUGCUUUUGAUAUGCUCAAAUCUCUCAAAGAGAUAUUCGGUGAACAAAAUCAUGUUCCAAGAAAGAUAACCAUGAAAGCUCUCUUAGCCACAAAAUUGACUGAAGGAGCAUCGCUAAGGAAGCACGUUCUAAAGUAUGAGUUUUUUGAACAAGAUAAAAAUUCUUGAUGCUUUCUUUGAUAAGGAAUCUUAGUUGCAGAUGGUCCUACCAACUCUGUCGGAUAGUUUUCAGCAGUUUUGCUUAAACUAUGACAUGAAUAAGAUGGAUUUGUCCCUUGCAAAACUGUUGAAUGAGCUGCAGGAGAUAGAAUAUACCAUUAAGCAAUAAGCUUCCCCUGCUGCAUUCAUGGUUGACAAACCUUCGUCUUUGUCUUCUAAGAUAAAAGGUGAAAUAAAUAGAAGAAUCCCUAUAAGGUUGCAUCACCUGGAAGUGAUACCGAUGGUAUGGUUAAGCCUAAGAAAAAGUUCUAUCAUUGUAAGAAACCUGAUCACGAUAAGAAAUAAUGCCCCUGCUACCUAGCCAAGAUGAAAAAUAAAGAAGGGAUUUCAGAAAACACGACGCCUAAAUGAGAAUGAAGUAAGCCUACUUCAAGCAAAUGGAGAGCCAACAUCAUCCCUAGUUGCAGGAAAUAUUUCUUUUUCAUUUAGUAAUAGUAGGACUUUGAUUUUGAAUAAUGACUUUGAUUUUGAAUAAUGUUCUUGAUGUGCCUUCUAUACAAAGGAAUUUGAUUUCUGUUUCCCAAAUAAUGGAUGCUAGA